rnacentral:misc_RNA from 1 species
UUCUUCUUCUUCUUCUUUUUUUUCUAAUUAUUUAAUCUCCUAAUACUAUUAUAAUUUUUCAUCUGAAAAUCUCCACCUAGGGUACAGUUUAUUUGUAAACUUGUGUACCGUCAUCCUUUUUCCUUCUUUUUCAUUUCCCAUUUUUCUAUGAUGCAUACAUUGAUUGGUUACAUUUUUUCUGCAUUAUUCAAUAUUAUUAUCAUUUUCUUCAAAUGUGUUGGAAGCUUGCUUAGAUUGUGUCCAUUUAGGCUAAAUCGUGUUUAGACCAUCCUAUUUAACAGUAAAGAAAAUGGCUUGUCGUAAUGGUGGGCUCAAGUUCAACUCCCCCCUUCCCCACAU